UUGUUACGAGAUCAUUACCAAGCCGUACAAGUAUAUGACUCUACCAGAAUAGUAAAGAAUUGUUACUGGUUGGUAAUAAAUAAUUUCGUUACUAGAUCAGUAAUAAUUUAUUACGCCAUGGUAAAACUUCAUGUAGUGACGGUAAAAAUCUUUGUUAUCAAAUUAUUCGAAACCCGCGGUAAUAAAUCUUUACCAAAUACGUAAUAACGAAUAUUACCAACACGUGGAGUCGUGUCUUUACCAAACAGUAAUAAACCUAGUAAUAAGUAUUAUUACCACUGUGGAACAACUCUGUUUACCAGGGGCUUGGUAAAGAUCGUUAUUAAAAUUUUAUUACCAGUUUGCUAAGAGUGUACAUAUCUCGAAAAGUAGCCGCAUUGGAAACAUUUUUCAUCUACAUAUUUACUUACUCCGACAGAAAUUAUGAAAACGGCGACCAUAUUUUUUGCAGCUCUGCUCGUUUUAGGAGAAUUUGCCAUGACAACGGUUCAAGCACAGGGAACAUAUGUUGACGCCUGUAACGAAGUUUGCAAUCGGUCUCCACCCGAACAGAAGGAAUGCUGUUGAGCCCAUGGAUAUCGGUUGGGUAGAAGAUUCUCCUGUGUUGAAGGAAGAGUGAUUUGUUAUUGAAGGACAAAGUGGAUUUUGGCCCAACUUAGCUACUAUUUUGGCCAAAGUCUAAAAAAUCUGGGCGUGAUGUUUUUUUUGUUGUCAAGCUACUUAUGUAGGUUUUGUAAAAAUAUGUAGUCUGAAAGAGUUAGAUUUGUGACAUAAAUGACUACUUGAUGUGCCCCAAUAUCAACGAAUAAUAAAUAUAUGAUUGUAGCAUCGUUUACAAUCUACUAAAAAUAUUAGUAGCUAUUAUUAGCUAAUACUUUUGGACUUUAAAUUUCAAAAUUAUAAUAUUUAGAUAUUUAGAGCAAAUAAACCAAGCAGUGUAGGAAUUCAG